CAGCCGCCGCGGUAAUACGUAGGGGGCGAGCGUUGUCCGGAAUUACUGGGCGUAAAGGGCGUGUAGGCGGGUAAUUAAGUCAGGUGUGAAAGACCAGGGCUUAACCGUGGGAGUGCAUCUGAAACUGAUUACCUUGAGGGCAGGAGAGGAAAGUGGAAUUCCUAGUGUAGCGGUGAAAUGCGUAGAUAUUAGGAGGAACACCAGUGGCGAAGGCGGCUUUCUGGCCUGUGCCUGACGCUGAGACGCGAAAGCGUGGGGAGCAAACAGGAUUAGAUACCCUGGUAGUCCACGCCGUAAACGAUGGGUACUAGGUGUAGGAGGUAUCGACCCCUUCGGUGCCGGAGUAAACACAAUAAGUACCCCGCCUGGGGAGUACGGCCGCAAGGUUGAAACUUAAAGGAAUUGGCGGG
rnacentral:rRNA from 1 species